GCCAGGAAGGAAGAGGCAGCCAGAGUGUUCUCUGCAGCAGAAGACCCCUUGCUGCCCUGCUUAACCCAGACCAGCAUUUGCCAGCCAAAUCAAGGGGUGACUAGCCCAUUGACCUGUUCCCCAUGUGUAUAUCCAAAGUACAAUCUCCAAGCCUGGAGAGGCAACUGCAAACUCCUGGGAGCCUCGCAGAAUAAGCAUAGCUGGUGACGAGAAACACACAUUUCAAACAGGUAAUGGACAUAGGACUUAAGUAAGUCUGAAGAUUCUGAAGAGAGAGAAAGAGACAGACAGAGAUGGCUUAAGAAACUUUGGUGCUUGAGGAAGGAACAGAGUAAGAACAGGAUGAAUCAGAGCUGUCCCUGUGCCUCCUGUGUCUGCCAUGGGCCUUGCAUUCCUUAUGACUGGCUCUAUGGAUCUUUGAACGGCCUGCAUGACCCACUCCUGCCAGCCCACAGGGUCUUCGUUGGCAGUGUAGCUGGAGCCACCCACUGGUUGAGGAGGCGAACUUGGGAAAGGUGCAGGACCUGCUUUCUCCCUCCACUGGGUCGCUGGAUGUUCUAGCAGGAGCCUGGCAAAGGAGAAGAGGCAGAAAAUAAGGCGAUGGAGAGCAGAAAGGAAAAAAACAAGAGGAUGAAGAAAAAGGGUGAAAAAGCAGAGUUAGCAGAGAGUAGGCCCAAAAAGAGAAACAGGCUAUCUAUGGCCAUUUGGAACAUGGUAGGAUAAAAGAACUAUAAGGAACUGCCCAGAAGGGGCAUAUAUGGUGUGGUUUCUUCAUUUGCAUAAGUCCUGCCUUCUGGAGCAUGUGGGUGGGGAUAACCCACGAUGGGUGACAUCCUACACCAGCAGAGAAAAUAAAAUCCUUUAACUUUGGUUUUCAUGUAUUUUAACAAUAUGGCAAUCCUGUCUCUAACCACUCACCUGGUUGCUAUUGAUGACCUGGAACUUUUGCUGGAUGAGUGGUUAGAGGAACAAAAAUGGUGAUCAGCAGCAACUGAACACCAGUGUCGGAACUGCUGGAGCCCACCAGCCAACUUCCCCAAUGUCCCCUAUUUAAUUAUUACCUUAUUUAUUUGUUAUAAUAACUCCUUGCCUUUCUUCCAUGCUAGAACUCUAGGUAGCAUGCAUGAGACGCUAACUCAUUGCCUUUCGCUGCUUGAGCCACAAGCCCCCCUCCCUGACACUGAUGCCGUCCCACCUCACCUCCUAUACCUACUUGCUGGCCCCACCCUGCAUCCCUCACUGCAGAGGCACAGCACUAAAGUAAAAAAAUAAAAUAAAAGACACCCCCUCCCAAACCACCAAAACAGACAAAUAUUUUUUUGCAGCAGAGAGUCACUUUGGAGGGCUUUAUAAUAAGACUGCAAUAUGAUAUAGCUAGAUGCUAAAACUUCAGUACUACAAAGAUAACUUUGCUCCUUGAAGCUUAGCAAUUACAUUUUAAAUUUAACUCAUUUAAAAAUGGCUUACCCGAUCCCAGCUAAAAGACAGGCCUAAUGCACUGAACUGCUCUUUCAUGUGUUGAAUAUUACUGAAAGACAAAACAACAUUCAUCUUUGAGCACCAAGGAAUAUUUCAAGGGCGGGUGAUGCCAAACAGAAAUGGUGGAGCUUGCACAUAGUUCCAGUCACCCAACGUCUUCCAACUGGAGCUGACUCAACUCUGCCUAUCCUAGGUCCAUCCACUUGCCUCACAGCUCCAAACAUCACUCACUUUGCAACAAUGCUUUGCAAGGCUGAUACUUUCUGAGUCUCAUUCCGGGUAACAAAUUAACUCAGGUCACAUCAAUUUUUCAGCAUUGCAAAAAUAUAUUUAAGGGAGGAAAAAACAUUUCUUUCUGGUCCAGUGGGGGGGAAAAUAGCAAUAAAGUAACACACACUUGGGAUGAUUAACUUACACACUUAUUAAAGAGUAAUCCCCAUUGAAUGUAGUGGGAUUUCCAAAUAAAAUGUAUAGGAUUGUGCUGUAAUACACAUAUUCCAUAGCUGUAUUCGUCCAUCUAGGAUGUGGUGGC